UGGUGCUGCUGUGGAAAUCAGUAUGAUAGUUCUUCAAAAAUUAAACAUGGAACUACCAUAUGAUCCAGCAAUUCCACUUGCUUGUGGUAGCCAGGAUUUCGGGACUAAAAUGUGGAAGUGAAAUCCUAGAGAUCAAUGGAGGCUGGAAAUAAAUAAAAAUGUUUAAAAAAAAAAUC